rnacentral:rRNA from 1 species
AGCGCAGGCGGGAAGACAAGUUGGAAGUGAAAUCUAUGGGCUCAACCCAUAAACUGCUUUCAAAACUGUUUUUCUUGAGUAGUGCAGAGGUAGGCGGAAUUCCCGGUGUAGCGGUGGAAUGCGUAGAUAUCGGGAGGAACACCAGUGGCGAAGGCAGCCUACUGGGCACCAACUGACGCUGAGGCUCGAAAGUGUGGGUAGCAAACA